AACGAACGCUGGCGGCAUGCCUAACACAUGCAAGUCGAACGAGAUCUUCGGGUCUAGUGGCGCACGGGUGCGUAACGCGUGGGAAUCUGCCCUUUGGUUCGGAAUAACAGUUGGAAACGACUGCUAAUACCGGAUGAUGACGAAAGUCCAAAGAUUUAUCGCCGGAGGAUGAGCCCGCGUAGGAUUAGCUAGUUGGUGUGGUAAAGGCGCACCAAGGCGACGAUCCUCAGCUGGUCUGAGAGGAUGAUCAGCCACACUGGGACUGAGACACGGCCCAGACUCCUGCGGGAGGCAGCAGUGGGGAGUAUUGGACAAUGGGCGAAAGCCUGAUCCAGCAAUGCCGCGUGAGUGAUGAAGGCCUUAGGGUUGUAAAGCUCUUUUACCCGGGAUGAUAAUGACAGUACCGGGAGAAUAAGCUCCGGCUAACUCCGUGCCAGCCGCCGCCGUAA
rnacentral:rRNA from 1 species